rnacentral:rRNA from 1 species
UACGGAGGGUGCAAGCGUUAAUCGGAAUUACUGGGCGUAAAGCGCACGCAGGCGGCUUGUUAAGUCAGAUGUGAAAGCCCCGGGCUCAACCUGGGAACUGCAUUUGAAACUGACAAGCUAGAGUCUUGUAGAGGGGGGUAGAAUUCCAGGUGUAGCGGUGAAAUGCGUAGAGAUCUGGAGGAAUACCGGUGGCGAAGGCGGCCCCCUGGACAGAGACUGACGCUCAGGUGCGAAAGCGUGGGGAGCAAACAGG